rnacentral:lncRNA from 1 species
GGGCACUGUCCGAGGGCAGCAGCUUCAGACGCCGAACACCUUCCUGAACACACUCUUGGGCUUCAGCCCACCUUUGCAUAUACACCCUAGGCCCUAGCCCACAUUCCUGCGCACACCUGUCCCAGGCAGUUCUGGACCCUCCCUACCUCUUCGAGCACACUUGCCCGGGACAACAGCCCGAGGCAGCGCCAAAGCGCUCCAUUCCGAGGACGUCAAAAGUAUGGUUUUUAGGAGCCGGGAUUUAGCUCAGUGGUUCCGGCGCCUGCCUCACAAGCGCAAGGUCCCUAGUUCGAUCCCCCGUACAAAAAAAACAAAAACAAAAACAAAAAACCAGUUGCGCGCGGGACUACUUUUUGCAGACCCUCGGGCCAGGCGGAGGGAUCCCUUCCGGGCGCUCGCGCGGAGCACCGCAGUACUUGGAGAACCGCAGUACUUGGAGAACCGCAGUACUUGGAGACCAGAGGCAGUGAGCCUGCGCUUUCCCCUGUGCCGCUGCUCGUCAGCCAGCGCCAGGGGAACCCCUACUACCUCGGUCUCGCACCCACAAUGGCGCAGAUUCUCCCCAUCCACUUCCAAGACCAUUUCCAGGACCUUGCCCUCGCGAGGCAGGCGGUGGAACCACUGAGGGUCUCCCUGUGUAAUCCAGGCUGGCCUUGAACUCAGGACAGUCCUCUUGCCUCUACCUCCUGAGUGCUGGGAUCACAGGUGUGCGCCACCAUGCCCUGCUCAAAGCCUGUUCUUAAACAAAAAAGCGUAGAUUUUAAGUUUCUAUUAAAGUUUAUAAUGGCUUGAGGAUAUAUUUUCAUUGUCUGGAAAAUAUUGUGGCUUGUAGCAUGCAGGCCAUAUGAAUGAAACUUUGUGGUUUGUGGUCUCCAACUUUUAAGUGGUGUUUGACCAUGCUCUGCAUUCUGCAUUCUGUUUCUGUUGUCAGCACAACACUCUGCCUUCACUGCAGACAUUUUGAACUUCUACCUGUUCCUUUUUUUUUUUUUUUUUUAACCUGUUCCUUAAAUGCCUGUUCCUUCCACUCCCAUUUUGCUGCCAGCAGAUGACUCCGGGAAAAUGGAAACCAUACAUUGCAAUGUGGUCACCUCUAUGUUUGCACAUUGUCUGCAGCCACGCUUCCCUGCCUUCCUGUUGUUAUUUCAGAAGGGGUAUUCUUAGCGUUGCCUGUAUUCCCAUUCUGAACCUUCCCUCUAGUGGGGCCCUUGCCCAGUAGCAGCUCCUCUUUCCUGGAGUUUCAUCAAUUCCCUUUCAGUGGCUUCUUCCUGUUUGUGUUUAACAGUGCUCACAAACCCCUUCUUCCCUUGUUCCCUUGAAGUUCUUCUCUCAAAGCCAGACAUGGUCAAAAAUCGCUUUAUCUCUUCCAUUACUCCUUUGUGUUCUUCAGUAACCUGGAAUUUAGUUUUCAUCUCCUCAUUUCCCUGAAUUAGUUCUUGCCAAGGCCACAUGUGAUCCUGGAGACAUUUUUUAAUAAAGGACCAGAUAAUAUGUUUUGAGAGGCACAUUGUGUCUCCGUGUAGUGGC